GCCUUAGUGGUGUAAUGGUCAGUACGUUGGACGCAUAUUUCAGAGGUCCGGGGUUCGAGUCCCGGGGAAGGCG
rnacentral:tRNA from 1 species